UGGAAGCCUUCAUUCCUGGAGAUAACCACC
rnacentral:piRNA from 1 species